CCCGWACYKCUCCUACGGGAGGCAGCAGUGGGGAAUUUUGCACAAUGGGGGAAGCCCUGUUGCAGCGACSCCGCGUGAUUUAGAAGGCCUUCGGGUUGUAAAAAUCUUUUCUAUGGGAAGAAAAUGACAGUACCMUAGGAAUAAGGACCGGCUAAUUACGUGCCRGCRGSSGSGGUAAUACGUAAGGUCCGAGCGUUGUCCGGAAUCAUUGGGCGUAAAGGGUACGUAGGCGGGUAAGCAAGUUAGAAGUGAAAUCCUAUAGCUCAACUAUAGUAAGCUUUUAAAACUGCUCAUCUUGAGGUAUGGAAGGGAAAGUGGAAUUCCUAGUGUAGCGGUGGAAUGCGCAGAUAUUAGGAGGAAUACCGGUGGCGAAGGCGACUUUCUGGCCAUAACCUGACGCUGAGGUACGAAAGCGUGGGUAGCAAACAGGAUUAGAUACCCUGGUAGUCCACGCCGCAAACGAUGAGUGUUAGGUGUCUGGAGUAAAUCUGGGUGCUGCAGCUAACGCAUUARACACUCCGCCUGGGGAGUACGCGCGCAAGCGUGAAACUCAAAUGAAUUGACGG
rnacentral:rRNA from 1 species